GCUUCACAAACCCUAAAAAUAAGGACUUAAUGGAAUCAGUUCACAGAUGUGAAUGCUUGCUCAUUAAGGAGUAAUGCUAUUGGGAGGCGUGGCCUUGGUGGCUUCGAAAUUUCAAGAACAAAAGCCCAUGAGCAGAAAGAGCAGAACAGUCACUCAUCAUUUCAAGUCUACAAUUUCUUUGGCAAAUACAUUCUAUGUCAUCAAAUUUUCUAAACUUGCAGCUAUCCAAGGAUGCUUAACCUUGUAUAGUUGUCAGUAUUUGCAUAUAGCCUAUAUAUAUAUGUGGCUGUAUGCCAACCUCUAUAUUACUUGUAAUACCUAAUAAUUAUAAAUUCCAUUUCAAUAGUUGCUGAAAUAUAUCUGUAAGAGACUAAUCGGGAGGAAAAGUCUUUGCAGGUGCAAUAGCAAUGUAAUUUUAUUCCUUUGAGUGUUUUGCAUUUGCAGUUGUUGAUAUGGUAAAAUAACAAGCUGUACUUUUAAUAACAAAAACAAAGUUAUCCCAUAAUGACACCAGUACAUAUGGACAAACUACUUUUAGGUUGCUACAGAAGGUACCUCUUGUCCAAUGAUGUAAAGACAUCACACGAAUCAAAAUUAUAGUGAUGAUAUUUAUUAAAACAGUGAGAAAAAAUUAAUAACUUAUGCAAAGUGAUAACAUGUAAAAAUAGUCACUCAAGUUGAGAAUCACAAACGAAAAUAAUUUUUGCAUUGUGCUUAAGGAUAUUGUAUGCUAUCCUGACCACUUGGAUACAUGAGAAGAUGUAAUAUUCUUAAAGUUUUCAUGAAAAAACAAAUCCAAAACUUCCACUGGCGUUUCAAGCAAUGAAAUAUACAUUCAGAAAACUCUCCUUAUAUCUACAUUAAAAUAUUUAUCAGUAAUUGGAGAAAAUUGCUUCCAGUUCUACAUUCCGCUCAACCACGAAAUCUGUGAUUUAUGUUGUUUUAAUGAAAAAAUGAACUGGCAAAAAACUAUGUAAAAUAAACUGAAAAAGUCAUGUGUGAAUCAUUUUAGUGUACUCUGAUCUUAUAUUAUGUCAUUUUAUUUUGGUGCUAUUUGUACAUUAAUAAUGCCUGUGAGCUGUGGGAGAAUUAAUCUUUCUUACCUGUUUUACACUGUCUUUCUUCUCUUAAUUUUCUCAAUCUCAUUUUCAUUUACUUUCUAAAGUA